rnacentral:rRNA from 1 species
AUUGAACGCUGGCGGCAGGCCUAACACAUGCAAGUCGAGCGGAUGAAGGGAGCUUGCUCCUGGAUUCAGCGGCGGACGGGUGAGUAAUGCCUAGGAAUCUGCCUGGUAGUUGGGGAUAACGUCCGGAAACGGGCGCUAAUACCGCAUACGUCCUGAGGGAGAAAGUGGGGGAUCUUCGGACCUCACGCUAUCAGAUGAGCCUAGGUCGGAUUAGCUAGUUGGUGGGGUAAAGGCCUACCAAGGCGACGAUCCGUAACUGGUCUGAGAGGAUGAUCGGUCACACUGGAACUGAGACACGGUCCAGACUCCUACGGGAGGCAGCAGUGGGGAAUAUUCGACAAUGGGCGAAAGCCUGAUCCAGCCACGCCGCGUGUGUGAAGAAGGUCUUCGGAUUGUAAAGCACUUUUAGUUGGGAGGAAGAGCAGUAAGAUAAUACCUUGCUGUUUUGACGUUACCAACAGAAUAAGCACCGGCUAACUUCGUG